CUCCACGAAGCCACGAUACAUUGAAUUGUUCAAACUUCCCUUUAAUGUCCAAAGCAGGUGGUGGCUCCGAACCGACAUUAGGAUCAGGUGUGUAAAGUAGCACGACAGAUUCCACAAACUUCAGCGCAAGUAAUUUUCUUCCAUCACUUGCAGGCAGAAAGGCCAUUGUGUAUAUCUCCUCCCUAAAUUUCAGCAUCAAGGCCCAUGCUGAUUCAAGAGAACCAUCCAAUUGACUUGAAAACAAGCCCUGAAUUGCAACUUUGACUAGUGUACACCGAAAUAUACCAAUUCCACAAGUGAUUGCUUGUCGAGCAACAGCUGGGGUAUCAUCCUUCAAGGCAGAGAUCAACACGGGUAUGAUAUCAGGUAACAAUUCUCCAUGUUCGAAUCCAAUACAACCAACCAUCUGAAUGGUUAAUUUACGAACUGGACUGAACCGAUCAGAAACGAGGUCGAUGAGAGUAGGGAGGAAUUCUUUGAGCAAAGGACCGCCAGCGCCGGAUAGCUCAUCUUUGAGCCGUCGCAAGCUAUGAAGCUUCGAUGGAACAUCGGAAGCGAACUUCGCAGCAUUGAGUAGACUCGCUAUCCUUUCUCUGGAAAUCGGAGACAUCAUUCCCACCAUUGCUGUAGGCAAAAGUGGAACCCUAGUUUUCUCUGAGCUUCAACUUGCUGUGCUUUAUCAUAUGCUUGUGAAAAGCAAUGAAAUUGAAAAAGCGAGUGUUGCCGGAGAAACGGAUGCUUCUGUAAUUUGUAUGGCACUCACCGGGAUUUUCCUCUACCG
rnacentral:misc_RNA from 1 species